UACGGAGGGGGCUAGCGUUGUUCGGAAUUACUGGGCGUAAAGCGCACGUAGGCGGCUUUGUAAGUUAGAGGUGAAAGCCCGGAGCUCAACUCCGGAAUUGCCUUUAAGACUGCAUCGCUUGAAUCCAGGAGAGGUGAGUGGAAUUCCGAGUGUAGAGGUGAAAUUCGUAGAUAUUCGGAAGAAACACCAGUGGCGAAGGGACG
rnacentral:rRNA from 1 species